rnacentral:rRNA from 1 species
AACGAACGCUGGCGGCAUGCCUAACACAUGCAAGUCGAACGAGACCUUCGGGUCUAGUGGCGCACGGGUGCGUAACGCGUGGGAAUCUGCCCUUAGGUUCGGAAUAACUUCGGGAAACUGAAGCUAAUACCGGAUGAUGACGUAAGUCCAAAGAUUUAUCGCCUAAGGAUGAGCCCGCGUUGGAUUAGCUAGUUGGUGAGGUAAAGGCUCACCAAGGCGACGAUCCAUAGCUGGUCUGAGAGGAUGAUCAGCCACACUGGGACUGAGACACGGCCCAGACUCCUACGGGAGGCAGCAGUGGGGAAUAUUGGACAAUGGGCGCAAGCCUGAUCCAGCAAUGCCGCGUGAGUGAUGAAGGCCUUAGGGUUGUAAAGCUCUUUUACCCGGGUAAGAUAAUGACUGUACCGGGAGAAUAAGCCCCGGCUAACUCCGUGCCAGCAGCCGCGGUAAUGUGACUACUG